UAUAUCACUAUUUAAGUUGGGUGUACACAUUUUGCAUGUACUUGAACUUGGCCUGCCUUACAUUUUCUGUUUGUAUGCUUUUGUUGUUACUGUACGAAAUGACAACACUGUGACGUGAAUAUAACUCGUGUCUCACUUCAAAACAUGGCAAAAUGUAUAACGUGGAACUUAGAAACGACUUCAAUUGCGCUCUCUGCGAAUUCAAGCUCCUCAAACCUUACCAAACGGACGUAUUUUCGAAUAUACAUACACAUCUAGUAUACAUAUACUGACAUACAUAUGUUAUUACACAUAAACAACACAUAUACAAACGUUCAAUUACAUGAUCCACUCAAAGAAUUAAAUAAAUAUUUUUAAAUAAAAGUGAAAUACGCUAUAAAACCUACAUCUGCAUGUGUCCGUCCGUAUGUGUAUAUGUAUGUAUACAUGUGCAACGUGCUCAUCAUAAUUUCGCAAAAUGCUGUCGAGGCGAAUGAGAGUGAAAAUUACAAACUAUCACAGCGAGCAAUAAAAGAAAUAAUUGUAAAAGCGAGUAACUAAGAACAUUGAGAGCAGCGGCAGAUAUAAAAAUAAGUACAUAUGCUUAGUAUAUAUGUAUGUCGGUGUAAAUGCGAAUGUGUGUUCUCACGAUACUCACACAUACUUGCACGUGAGUAUGUGCAGCAAGAUUACAUGAAAUGCCAUUAAAAAAGUACAGCACUAAGCAGGGAGCAGAGGGGACACAGGAAGCCCGUAACACACCAUCGAUAAAAAGCAACAAAACAACAAAUGAUAUAAAAUCAUGCAUGUAUGUGUGUGUACUGGCAGCAAUUAGGUGCGCGAGGAGCGACGCCAACGACGCCAACGACGUUAUUCCCAGUUUCGCCCGAUUCGUGCGCCAGUAGGAAGAGCAACAGCAACAACAACAAGAGCAAUGUUAACGACGACUGAGAGGUGCGCGACGCAGCAGCGGUAAACUACGAAUUGCCAACGAGCAAACCAGUCAAACACAAGUCAGCAACGCGACAAGAAAAGCAAUAAUAACAACAGCGCCAACAGGAACAACAGGCGCGUCAAAUAUGUAUAACAGCAGCAGCAACAACAACAACAACAGCAAUUAGUGAAUAUGUGUAUAUGUAUAUAGGCGACAGUGAACGCCGACUGCACAGUUGACCGCUACGCCGCCGCUAUCAAAACGAACGAUGGCAACGAAGACAACGAAGGCACUACUAAUGCCGACGACGACGACGCAACGACAAGGUAGAAAAUUGAACUUUCCAUUCGGUCUGCUAGCGACGACAGCGGCAUUGAGAACUGAAACUUUUGUGCGAUCAUACCGCAUCGCGGCUGCGACGACGAACCGGAGCGCCGAAAAUGUCAAUAAAUUUUGCCUAAAAAAGUGCUAAGUAAUAAUAAUAAUACUAUUAAUUAAAAAAAAACAACAAUAUCGAAAAUAAACAGUUACAAAAUGUGGAAUGAAAUAGUUUUCCUGUUGGAAAAGGUAUUGUUUUUGCGGAACUGUGUGUGACCUUUUCAAGUACUGCGCAUUUAUUCUGCGAAAGUUGCAGAGAAAUCACGCGAAAUGUUUGAAAAGUAGCGAGUACGUGUAAGGAACGUUCGGGCAAAUAAGCAACACGCUUUGGAAAAUUUUUGAAAAUUUGUGUGUUUCAGCCUGUGUGUUAAUUAACUAAGCCGUUAGCAAGCAAAAAAAUUUAAAUUAAGUCUAGAAAAAUUAAAUACUGACAUUCGAAGCAAAAAAAAAAAAUAACCUAAACGUUAAAAGAAAAAAUUCGAAAAAUCACAAUUUGUAAAUCAUACUAACAUUUGUUGUUGUGGCAGUGCAAAUACAUAUGUAUGUAGUUUUAACAAACCAAAAAUUAUUAAUUUACAAACAUGAAAAAUUACUAAGCAGCAAACAAAUCUAAUGAAACAUAGUGGACAGCUAUGCCAUGCCUAGCGCACAACCCUUGGCAGUGAGCUCCACCACGAUGGACGCAAAGCUUUUGUGGUGCGAUGCGCGUCAGCAGCAGCAACAACAACGACAUUAGUGGCAACACGAAAAUCCAAGCAGUUUAUGACGCAACAGCAAUCAGUGAAAUUAAAUUAGAACCGAAGAGAAAUUCAUCAAAAAUACAAAAGAGUAAGUGUAAAACUGUAUAUAUGUAUGUAUGUAUGGGAAGAUGGCAAUAAUGGAGGCACAAAAAUUAAACGAAAUUGCCAAGGAAAGGCGUGAAUGGAAAACCGAACUUGGUUGGAAUAUGAAUGACGACAACAAAACUAAAGGAAAUGUCGACGACGACGGCGCCGGCAGAAGGGUGGCGCUGCCGAGCGCCAACUGCGCGCCGAGAACAACAGAGAUGUCAGCCAGCAUGCAAAGGGAUGGCGGAAGCAAUUAUUUAAACAGCCAUGACACAUAGAACACAUGCGCUCACUUUCACUUGCGCUCUCGUGUGUGCGCGCUCUCACUCUCCUCGGUUAACUGCGUGCGCUACAAACACAAAGCAAAUGCAAUCACGCACACAACCACAGGAUGCACUCAUAUGCAAUAUUUUUACAUGUGUGAGUGUAUGUGCGUGUAUGUUUCGGCAUUGCAUUCGCCAUGAACCGACAAUUUGAAAGUGAAUUGAGUGCAAUGUGUGAGCCAGCGCGAGUGAGCGGGGUGGUUGCUGCACACUAGCGCGGCGGAAUGCAAGAACAACAACAGCAUACAUUUACAUGUAUGGAUGCACAUUUAGUAUAUAUAAAUAUAUAUGAAUUGCUAGUAUAUAGCGCGCAUAUAAGCAGAAUAAUGUGUGCGUGUAGUUGAAAACAAAUAUGGCGGACAUGCGCAAUUGCAUUCAACUUGAACUUGAAAUUUCAUUAUUUGCCAGCGAUUGCAGCUGCAGCCAGCCAAUACAGCUGCAACAGCAACAGAAAACGAAAAUGAAAACGAACCCGAAACAGACGUCCAUGCAAUCCCAACGUCCACACUACACUACACUCGGCCAAGGAGCCCAUAGGAAACGGCUCCACAUACAUACAUACAUACAUACCAAGCUAUAUAUGGAAAACAGGAGCACAAGGACACAGGAGAUUGCAUAACAUGACGCCAGUGUAACAGAAUAGUCGAAAUAGUGCGAUUGCAUCAGCAACUGCCGGAAUACGCAGCUCCCGAACUGCUGCCAACAGCGGAACUUUCCACCCAGCAGGUAUGUAUUUAUUUGGCAAUUUAUUUCGUGUGUGUUCAGGCGUAAAGUGUAAAGGUCAAAGGUUGAAAUACGAAAUACGAAAUACGAAAGCGUUUGAUGCAAUUGCAUUGUGUUCUUUACUCAAUUUUGUGACGAAAUGCCGAUCGUAGCGUGCCGCGUACGCCAUUGUUGGCCGUACUUGUAGUUUGUCAACGGCGAAAAAAGCUUUCAAAAUGCGAAAACAACAAAACUACAUAAAAAUUUCACUUUUCAAAACUUUAUUACAGCAGCGCACGAAGAGUAUGGCACUAAGAAAACACAAAAGCAGGCGUAAGGAGAAGUGCAAGCAACGGCGAGUGCAGUGGGACAUUGCUUAUAUAUAACUUUGCGCUGAGCGUGAAAGCUCUCGCUUUUGUGUAAACCCACUGAAAUGUUUUAAAAAUACUUAAAUAUGUAUACACAAAUAUAUAUAAAUGUAUAUGCACGUCAAUAAACAGUUGUGAGCGCCAUAAAUUUUGCCUACUCAAAAGCUUUCAAUGCUUGAGCUUUUAGCCGGCAUGUUUUCGCCGCUGUGCUUUUGCUCAAAUUCCAGCUUUUAUCCACUUUUGUCCGCUUUGACGUGGAAAACAACACUUUUCCCCCUUUUUCCCUGUGUGCGUGGGUGUGUGCGUGCAUGUGGUAAGCGCCUAUUUGUAGCCUACACUAAACUCCCAUACACUUGGGCAGCAUCAAAAGUGCGCCGACAAGCGCGCUUCCCACUUUGACGCUGCAAAACGACAGGGAAUGCGCCCGAUUUGUUCGACAUUCGUCACAUAUGUUGAUGUGCUCAACGCAGCUUGUGCCUGAAAAGUGUGAAAAAGUAAAUAUGAAAUUUGAAGUUAAUUAAAAUUAGUUGAAAAGUUGCUUUGAAAAAGUUUUUAAAACCAAAGUAAAUAAAAUUAUAUAUAUGAAUUAUGGAGUAUUUAAUAUCAAGCAUAUUUGACCUUUGCCCUUUACUAUAACUGGAAGUGAACUUCAUUUGCGGCUAUUUGGUUUAUGACGCGUGUGUCACAGCAGUGUUGAAAGGGAACGCUAUUAAUAUAGAAGUAUAUUAAUAUAGAAAUAUACAUAUAUGUACGUAUCAGUUAAUACAUAUGUACAUAUAUGCGCGUGUGUAUGUUUUCGAUCCCUUACCACAAAAAAAUGCGAUUUUGUCGAAGCUCGUGUAUUUGAAUGAACAAUAAAUUUAGCAAAAUUGAUUAAUUGCUAAAAAUAAGUGUGUUGUUGUAAAACAAGAAAAUGACUUUAUUAAAAAAACCAAAAACGACGAGAGAAGCUGUCCAUACGGUAUGCUAAAUCAAGUGACAGCUAAAAUUGAUUUCUACAUUGUGUCUAUGGUUAGAAUAACGCUGACGUCGAUGCAGCAACAACAAGUUGCUGUUAUGUCAUGUUUGUGUGUGGGUGUUGCUGCAGCAAGGACAAUUUACUGAUACGAAACGGAAUACAUAUAGACAAAAUUGUACUAAAAAUUCACGGCAAAGUAUUUCAGCUAUAUACAAAAUAUUUUUAAAUUGAUGGAAAUACUUCCAGGAACAGAAAUAAGCUACUCAGAGAAAACGAAUACAUGAGCGAGCAAUAAUAGAGUUUUUAUUGGUAAUAAGUAAAACGUGGUUCUUAAAAAAACAAUUGAAGCAUUUAUAAACCGAUUAUGAAGUUAAUCGAUAACAACUUACAUAUAAGACUACCAUUUAAAAUCGAUAUACCUUAACUUUUUUGUAACAAAUCCAUAAAAAAUGAUAUUAAAAACUCACGAUAUGCAUAAUAGGCGCUGAAAUUAAAUGACAAUGGUAUUUAAAAAUUAUUUAAAAAUCAAACGGUACUUAUGAUAAACACUGUAGUAUUCUCUAAGCAAGUGUGUGUAAUCGAUUACACUUUAGACCAGUGAAAAGUAUUAAAAGAGUGUUAAAAAUCGAUUAUUACAUUAAUCGAUAACGGUUGGAAGGUAAAAGUGUUGCUGUAAAUCGAUAUAAAAAUCGUUUCAGAAAUGAUAGAUACAUAAAACUCGCGAUAUACAUAAUCGUUUCUGCAAUUUAUCGAUAGCAACUAACUACAAAACGAUUUAUAUCGAUAUACAUACCAUUUUUGAAACAAUUCAUAAAUAAAAUUCUCGAUAUACAUAAUCGUUUCUGAAAUUUAUCGAUAGCAACUGUUUACAGAACUACCGAUUAAUACGAUAAACGAUUUAAUAAUAAAACAGCGCUUAUGGAAAACACUGUAACGUUCUCUAAGCAACUCUGCACGCGAUUAUGAAAUUUAUCGAUAAUAAAUGAUACGCAUUUUACGUCGAUGGAAAUCGAUAUGUAUAAAUGUUUUUAUAAAUAAUCGAUAACAAAUGAAAUGUAAAAAUCUGAACAUAUCUACUUAAUCGUUUUAGAAAUUAAUCGCUAUCAAGCUUUGGAUUUAUACAAGUAUAAUCUUGAAGGCUGCUACCCAGGUUGGGAACCUCUUUUUAUAUUCUUUGCGAAUACUCUUUUUUACAUCCAUUAGCUCAUGCUCUGUUUCUCUUGAUCUGUUCUUCAUAUAUGUAUGCAUGAGAAUUAUUCUUUUACGCCUAUUGACUUAUGAAAAAUAGAUCAGUUCUUCAUAUACCUAAGUAUGUGGAAGUGUAUCAAUCUUAUUUGCCUGGAAGUCCAGUCCGUUAGCUUGAAUGAAGAGAUGCUUUUAUUUAUAUAGACCAAAGACCUUAGCUUUAUCGUGCCUAUAAAGUAUACAUACAUAUAUAUUUGAACGUUGGUUCUUCCAUAUCGGAUGUUUGAAUUUUUUUUGGAAUAUUGAAAAAAAGAAAGAUUCUCCAUAAUUUCUGAAAAUAUUCACCUCUAUACUCAAAAAUAUAUGUAGAUCUUAAGGCUAUACCUAAAAAGAAAGACUCGAGAAGACCUUUUAUUUUAUUGGAAAUACUCUUAAAAUUCUAUAUUGUUCCACAUAGACUGCACUGUUGACGCAAAGAAUAGAAAACACAUAUUUCAUAAUUGCGCGUAACCCUCUUAAAUAACAUAAUCUGAUCUGAGUCGUAUUACAUAUGGGUAUGUAAAUUAAAAGCGUCUCUCCUCGCGUAAUGUACCAUAAUUUACAUUUCAUUUGCGAAAAACGGAAUAAACGCAGUGUGAUAAAUAAUAAUUUGCUCAUAAAAAAAUAGCGAAUAACGGAAAACGAGUAGAAACUACGCUGGCACUAUUUAAAAUCACUCAAUAAAGUCUCAUUCAAAUCGCAUGCUCAUUUGACAUACUAAGCGUUUUAGGUGAACGAGCAAACGAAGCAGAAUUCACUUCGAAAUGAGCGCCGUGCCGAAAAAAGCUCGCUCAAUCACUACAAUUAUAAGAAGCACAAUUUCUUUCGGUUUUUGUCAUGGCUAAAGCACACAUGUGCAUAAACACACCCACACAUGCGCGUAUACAUAGAUGAUUAAAAUACAACUGCAAGGGAAGUGACGACAAGCUAAACUUUCGCCUGAGUUGCUAGAAGGCACACCCACACACACACACACAAGUGGCUGAAGUACGUGCUUAAAGAAGCUCCACGCCUAAGGGAAAGUGUUGUGAAAUGAAAAAUACACCGAAAAUGAAAAAAAAGAAAUCAAUUCAAAAUGAAUCUUAUGCAUCUACUGCCGGGAUACACCCUGUGCUCGCUUCGUAAAUGUUCGUAACCGAGUCAGUGAACACAGCUGGUGGUAUCUCAGUGGUGGUUGCAUGUGUGUCAACGGUGAGCGGCGGCAAUGAAUUAUUAAAAUAUUUGUUUUUGUACACAUAUGUACAUAUGUAUAUGUAUUUAUAUCAAGGGCAGCAGCAGCAACAACAACAGCACUACUCGCAUAGCACAUGCAUAUACAUAUACUGUGUGUAUUUGUGUGCGUGUGCAUCCUGCUGAGCUUUGGUGCACCUGCAGGUGAGUACCCGCCACGCAUUUUCGCUUAUCAUUUUCGUAUAAAGUAAUUUUAUUUUAUUACACAUAAUUAUUUUAUAUAUUAAGUAUAAACACAUUAACAUAUUUUUCGAAUAUUCGUAUAGCAUAAGCUGCAGAAAUUUUUGUUUUUGUUUUUGUCUAAAUUUUAAGUAUGUAUUUUUCUUAGUACAACUACAAUUAAAUAGCUUUAUGCGAAAAAAAAUGUAUUUCAAAAAUAUCAGGAUUUAAUAAAAAAAAAAACAGCUAGAAAUAAAUUAAUUAAAAAAAUACUAAACAAAAUUUCUUUAAAAAAUUAAAAAAUAAAUAAAUUUUAAUUAAAAAAAAUUAUUAAUUAGUUUAAUGCAAAAAAUAUUAUUGGAAAAAAAUGAAUUAUUAAUAAUAAUUGAAAAAAAUCUUUUAAAAAAUUACGAAAAAAUUUACUAAAAACAAAAGAAAAUCAAAUGAAGUUAAAACAUUCUAAAGUUUCUAAUUUUUUUAAUUUUAAAAUACUAAAAAAAAAACAAAAAAAAGAAUCAAUUAAAAGAAUUAAAAAAAUUAAACAAAAAUUAGAAUUUUAGAAUUUUUUUAACAUUAUUUAAUUUUUUUCAGCAUUUUUUUGUAACUUUUAAAAUGUUAUUAAAAAAAAUUUAGAAAUUCUUUUUUUUUUAACUUUAAAAUAAUCUUUUUUUUUAAUGAAAAAAACAAAAGUCGAAAAAUUCAAUUAGUGAAUUUAAAAAAUGCAUAUUUUCAACAUUACUUGUACUUGUUCGAUAUAUUUUUCAGUUUCGUUCGAUUCAUAGCGUUUCAGCGUGUUGCAUUUAACUGCUACUGCAACUAAGAAAAAUUAAAAAAUAAUUUAAAAAUUGUUCAAAUCAACUUAAUUUUUAUACAUAUUUAUUGUUGAAGUACGAAAUUAAUUCAUUAACAAUUAGCGCCUAAGUUCACACGCCGCCUACAACAUUGGAAAAUUGCUCUUGUACUCAUUACCGUACUCGACUCGAAGAUCAUUCAUCAUUCACUUGUAGGUACGAGUAGACCCCGAUGCAUGUGCGCUGCUUUGUGUACCAUAUGUCUGUGUGUGUUUAGUAGAUGCGACAUCUAAGCACUUAUGUAAUUGUCAAUGCCAUUUAGUUGGAUUCAAUUCGUUUCACUUCGAUUCGAUUCAAUUAAUGAAAUUAAAUUGGCGUUUAUUUGACAUGCCCGCAGCGCUUAAAUAGAAUGUUCUCUUCGGAACUCUCAUUGUAAUAUACAUAUACGUAUAUCUGUGUGUACUUUUGGUUUGGUUAGUGGCAUAUGGAACAUAGAAAUUAUUAGCCAUAUAUGUAGGUGAGUGAAAAUUGUGGUUUGAAAAGAAAAAGAAAGCAGUUACUGAAAUCGAAAGAAAGUCUUUUCUAAUGCUUAAAACGCUUUUUGAAAUAUUUUCUGCUCAGUUUCAGUCUAAAGAGUUAGUUCUAGCAUUGACAUUCAGAUCGUAAAUGUACUUCGAAAAUUUUUAUAGCCUACUUUAUAGAUUAUUUUUUCUUGGCUAAUUCAAAAUUUCUAUUUUUUCGCUUCACUUUGCUGACUUGUCGUCGGAAGCGUUUCGCAUUAAUGGUUUUACCCUUUUUAAGACAGAUAACUCAUAAUACAACACGCUUUUUAGAACCCACCAAAUACAGCUGAUCAUUAUCUUGGUGUCAUGCAUACUCACCUUCGUCGUUAACAUGACUGGUUGGUUAGGCUUCGCCUACAACUUUUUACCUCGAGGAUUGUUUUUGGUAUAAACUUCUUUAAAAUGCAAAUAAUAAUGGCAGAAUUCUUACCUACCCUUAUUCUCUUUACCUGUUAUGAGCUCCAGAUAGAGCUGGUAAGCAAAGAAUCUUUUUAUUGUUACGAUUGAUAUGUCUUAUUUUAUAAUACAAUAUUAUCUGUUCAUACAUUCAAAUCUGCUGAAUUCAGUGGUUGAUCGAUGGUAUUCAUUGCUUUUUCGGCUUUAAUUUCGGUCUCAUCGUGGCUCGGUCCUAUAUUUAUUGACCGUCCGUCCCUCCAGAACAAAUUCCUGAUGCAUCUAACCACGAAUAUAAACAAAAAAAAAAAAAACAAA